rnacentral:rRNA from 1 species
GACGUAGGGCGCGAGCGUUGUCCGGAUUUAUUGGGCGUAAAGAGCUCGUAGGCGGUUCGUCGCGUCGGCUGUGAAAACCUGAGGCUCAACCUCAGGCCUGCAGUCGAUACGGGCGGACUUGAGUACUGCAGGGGAGACUGGAAUUCCCGGUGUAGCGGUGAAAUGCGCAGAUAUCGGGAGGAACACCGGUGGCGAAGGCGGUUCUCUGGGCCUUACCUGACGCUGAGGAGCGAAAGCGUGGGGAGCGAACAGG